rnacentral:rRNA from 1 species
CAUUACUGAGUUUACGCUCUACAACCCUUUGUGAACAUACCUAUAACUGUUGCUUCGGCGGGUAGGGUCUCCGCGACCCUCCCGGCCUCCCGCCUCCGGGCGGGUCGGCGCCCGCCGGAGGAUAACCAAACUCUGAUUUAACGACGUUUCUUCUGAGUGGUACAAGCAAAUAAUCAAAACUUUUAACAACGGAUCUCUUGGUUCUGGCAUCGAUGAAGAACGCAGCGAAAUGCGAUAAGUAAUGUGAAUUGCAGAAUUCAGUGAAUCAUCGAAUCUUUGAACGCACAUUGCGCCCGCCAGCAUUCUGGCGGGCAUGCCUGUUCGAGCGUCAUUUCAACCCUCAAGCUCUGCUUGGUGUUGGGGCCCUACAGCCGAUGUAGGCCCUCAAAGGUAGUGGCGGACCCUCCCGGAGCCUCCUUUGCGUAGUAACUUUACGUCUCGCACUGGGAUCCGGAGGGACUCUUGCCGUAAAACCCCCCAAUUUUCCAAAGGUUGACCUCGGAUCAGGUAGGAAUACCCGCUGAACUUAAGCAUAUCAAUAAAGC